rnacentral:rRNA from 1 species
AAUAGAUACCCUGGUAGUCCACGCCGUAAACGAUGUCGACUUGGAGGUUGUUCCCUUGAGGAGUGGCUUCCGGAGCUAACGCGUUAAGUCGACCGCCUGGGGAGUACGGCCGCAAGGUUAAAACUCAAAUGAAUUGACGGGGGCCCGCACAAGCGGUGGAGCAUGUGGUUUAAUUCGAUGCAACGCGAAGAACCUUACCUACUCUUGACAUCCACGGAACUUAGCAGAGAUGCUUUGGUGCCUUCGGGAACCGUGAGACAGGUGCUGCAUGGCUGUCGUCAGCUCGUGUUGUGAAAUGUUGGGUUAAGUCCCGCAACGAGCGCAACCCUUAUCCUUUGUUGCCAGCGGUUAGGCCGGGAACUCAAAGGAGACUGCCAGUGAUAAACUGGAGGAAGGUGGGGAUGACGUCAAGUCAUCAUGGCCCUUACGAGUAGGGCUACACACGUGCUACAAUGGCGCAUACAAAGAGAAGCGACCUCGCGAGAGCAAGCGGACCUCAUAAAGUGCGUCGUAGUCCGGAUUGGAGUCUGC